CCGUACACACUGAUGCCUUAAAACGUUUGGAGAAAUAUCAAGCUCCCUCAAAAGUCGAGCGCCAGUACUUCACUCUGGAGAUGGUGAUGUUGCUUUUGGCUGGGAGAAAACAUUGGUCUGAUCCUCAUGGCUGAUAGUAGCAGAGCCUGAAAGGGCAGUCAGAUGACUCCAGCUCCAACAUCCUUCGCCUCUAUCCAUGCAGCCCAGGUCCUGGGCUAGAUCUGCCCUGCUCUCCUCGGACUGUCCCUCUUCUGUCCUACUAAAGCUGUAGGAAUAACUCACAGCAUGUAGCUAAACCGGAGUAUGGAUCUGCCUUUGUGCUAGCUGGGCAUCUGAAGCGUUCGUUCUGGAGCCACUGAGCAGGAAACGGCAACUUUUAUUAAGCAUGGCAGAGGGCUGUAGGGAGAGCGGAGAGAUGCUGGGUGCUACAUCACACACCAGCUCCGUACUCGAUGCUACAGCCACAGAAAAUGCUCAGCUGCAUUGCUGGUAGUAGCGUAGAGCGAGGGGUGCAACAGAUGCCGUAUUAAAUCUCCCCAGCACCACACCAGCUAGAUCCUGAUGCAUCGAUGUUGACCAAAAGGAAAAAUGUCUUUAGCUUGAAACAGAAUUAUCUGUAGCCUUUAUAGAAACCACAUGUACCGUGAAUGCAUAAUGCUACACCAUCUGUUCAAUGCUGCUGCACACAGACUCUGUCUGUGCAGCAGUAUAUUACACCAAAGCCCUUCGUCCGCGCUUACGCAGUCACUGUGGUUAGGUAACGCAGAACCAGAGAGAAGAUGGCAGUGACUGCUGUCCUAUUGUGUGUCACAGCAGUCACAGGACAGAUGUUCAUCAAUGCUUUUUCUCACAAUUGCAGUGAGCACGCACACUGAAUGCAGGACUGAGAGGGAAAAGAGAGUCCUGCUAUCAGCAGAGACUCUCGGUAUACCUAUAUAGAGGCUGCUGAUUGAUGCAAAAGCGGCAGAUGCGUCAGCACUGCAGACGAGGGGGAGGGGAGGAAGCUGAACCCGACAUGGCACUGCGAGCCUCUCGCUAGCCUGUAAGGACGGAAGCAGCUCUUUUAUUUACACAACUCAGUGUAGUCAUAUGACUGUGUAGGUCUUCUCCUCACACUGCCUGAGACCCACUUCAAACCAGUUUCAGUGGCAUUUAGGUUUAUGUACUGUUGAGAUCAGACAUAGUAGCAGGUGCCUUAUUAUUAUGCAUGCACUCACUCAUUGCCCUAAAGGAAGUAAAUGUGCUAUUCAGCGAUUGUUUGUGCUUUCAACUGUACACACAUUCAAUGAUCUUCCUUAAUUUUAUCUGCUGUAUUGUCAUGUUCACUUUUCUGUAUUUGA